AACCUAGCACACCUGCGGUGUGUACCUGCGGAGGGAUCAUUACCGAGUUUACAACUCCCAAACCCCUGUGAACAUACCUAUACGUUGCCUCGGCGGAUCAGCCCGCGCCCCGUAAAAAGGGACGGCCCGCCCGAGGACCCCUAAACUCUGUUUUUAGUGGAACUUCUGAGUAAAACAAACAAAUAAAUCAAAACUUUCAGCAACGGAUCU
rnacentral:misc_RNA from 1 species